GAUUCAUGGUUAAUUGGAAAUUGAUUAUGUAGCCAUGUGGUAUGUCCAUAUUGGCGGGUUUUAAUUUAACCCGAUCCACUUAGGAUGUGGGUUACGACUUAUCCUAAUAGGUUUAGGAUAAUAAUAAAUUAUAUGUUUCUUAUCAGUUAAGAAACAUAUUUACUAGAGGAUAUCUAUCAUAUCCUAGUUCUUAUCCUAAUCUCUUUGUAAGAUUCAGGAUAUUUAGGGGUUCCGUUAUUCUAUAUAUACGUCCCCUUGUUUCUCCCAUCUGAGACAAUUGAUAUUCGAAUUAAUUCAAUAUUCCAUUAUUCUCUCUCUUCUUCCUCUCUGGGAUUUCCACCUACGUUCUCGGGGUUUUGGAGUGUGGACAUAGAAGAGGACUCUGGUAGCCCUCUUCGAUUAACAUCCGUCGCAUCAGAUCCGCAACCAAUCCGUGGCGUAAGGCGUACGCGUGGGAGAAGGCGAAAAACGUGGGAGAUCCAGAAGCAUCGAGACAAGGACGAUCCAAGAAGGCUUGUAAAACAAGUAAUCCGAUCCGAUUCGGGCUCCCGGAUACGUUGGCUAUCCGGUUUGUAAGUUUCCGCUGCUUAUUAUUUCCAACAAUUGGUAUCAGAGCCUGCAUGAUUGUUUUCGCCUUAUGAUCAUGCUUGUGAUGCGUGUGUUUUAGAUCGCAUGUUUUUCGUUGAUCAAUCCUUGAUGUAGAUUCGUUCUGCAAUUUUUUGGUUUCUUUGUGAAAUCGGAAAAAAGAAAAAGAAAAAUUAAAUUAGUUUUAUUUUUUCUGAUCAUCAUAGGACAUGUGAACUUUUUUUAACAUAUGUUGUUUUUUCGUGCAUUUUUUUACUGCGAGCGGGCUUGACGCGACCUACCGCGGGCGAAAGCGCGCACCGCGCGCAUCGCGCCGGCUCGGCCCGCUGCGGGCGUGGUGCGCACCGCGCGCAUCGCGCGGGCUCGGCCCGCUGCGGACGAGGCGCUCUCCCACGCGACCUGCGCAGGUGCGGCCUGCUACGAACGCGGGCCCCCACCCGCACAGCCGCGCGGGCCCGGCCUGCUGCCGGUGUAGGCGCGACCGCCAGCACAGUGCGGGCCCGGCCCGCUGCGGGAGCGGGGCACGCCCGCCCGCUCCGCGCGGGCCCGGCCUGCUGCGGGUGCAGGGCGCGCCAGCCCCAUGCGCGCGGGCCCGGCCCGCUGGGCGAGCGGGGCGCGCCCGCCCGUUCCACGCGGACCCGGUCCGCUGCGGGUGCGGGGCGCGCCCGCCCCCUGCGCACGGGCCCGGCCCGCUACGGGAGCGGGGCGCGCACGCUCGCUCCGCACGGGUCCGGCCCGCUGCUGGAGCGGGCGCACCCGGACGGGCCCGGCUCGGUGCUGGGCCCGGCCCGAUGCGGGCGCAGGCGCGCACCCACGCACUGUGCUGGCCCGCAGCACUCAGGCCGGCCCGCUGCUGGCGCUGGCCGCACCUGCUGAGUGCAGGGACGAAGCUCUUGCGCGAUUCGGGAGGGCUUCUGGCCUCGGCCCUUCCUGCUACGCGCCGAAAGGGCUCGGCCCGACUGUGAUGAUAAAGUAAGUUUUGCCCUUUAAAUAAAAUAAUAAUAUAUAUCUUUUUCCUGCAUGAUAUUUGAUAUAUAUAUUUCCUGCGUAAUUUUUUUUGGAUACUUAUUAUGCCAUUUUUUUAGAAUAUGCAUGUGUUGUUUAUCCUAUGUGGGUGUUUUUUUUGCUUAUGUAGCAUGAUAUUUUAUUGGCAUAUAAGUACUUAUGUUAUUCGGUGAUUUUUUAACAAAAUUUAAUUUUGGAAAGACGGGUUCGACGUGUGCAGCAUUCCUGUAGAAUAUUUAUUUUCUGAUGUACAUCUUGUAGUGAUGUAGUAGGUUUUAAUUCUGAAAAAGGUGAUGUAAUAAUUAAGGCCAUGUAAAGGAAUGUGUUUUGCGCAGCGUCGACGUUUUUCAAAUUAAAUUUUGGCAUAAGUACUUAUUUUUUUUAUCUGUGUGAUGACAUCAUGUGAUUUGUUCUUCAUGUAUAAAUUUUUUUUAAGGAUGUGUUCUUUCAAAAUGGAUCAGUUUUAAUUUUGAAUAAGUUUCAAAAUUAGUAGAAAAAUUAAUAAGAUUGUAAUAUUUUGAAUCGAUACUGGGUGAUGAUUACGAGCAUAGCGAAGUUUUCGAUCCCGUUGUGUCGAGGAUAAAAGUUUCAAUCUUGUUAAUUUUUUGGAAAUAUGUGCCUAAUGUCCAAACCUAUUUUUGAAUGUAGUGAAAUAACUUCCAAGAACAUCAUAGCUGAUCUCACCAGGGGUGAUAAGCUAGAUGUAAAGAAUUAUGAUAUUUGGCACAGGAAAAUGCAAUACCUGCUUAAUGAACAAGGGGUUCUUGAAACUCUAUCUGUCAAAAGAGUCUUGCCUGCCGAAGGCACAGCUUCUGAGCAUGAAAAGGAGAUCUAUAACAAAUGGAUCAAGGAGGAUCGAACUGCUCGGUACACUAUGUUGAGUGCCAUGCAAGACGACCUCAUUGGACAGUUUGAGAUCUUUGAAACUGCCAAGGACAUGUGGGACAAUCUGAAGAUUACUUUUGGUCAAACUUCAUCUAUGAGGCUACGUGCCUUAAAUCUCAAGUUUCUACAGUAUAUUAAAGACCCGAAGCAUUCAAUGGCUGAGCACCUUCGUGUGAUGAGCGCCAUGAUUCGGGACCUUAAGACUGCUGGAAACGAGCUCACUGAUGAGCAACAAGUUCUAGCAGUGAUUCGUUCACUGCCUGAUACUGAAUGGUCCCAGAUGAAGCCUCUGAUGACGCAUAGCGAGAACAUUAAAAUGUUUAAUGACAUCUCGCGCCAUCACGAUCUCGAGGCAGAGCGCUUGGAAGCGAAUCGUUCUAUCGCUCUUGUUGCACGCUCCGAGAAACGCAGUGGAAUCGCACCCAAAGCGUAAGAAGCGUUACAAUAAUUGAGCGCAGAAAAGUCGAAAUCAAAUUCCCUAUGGUGGAGUUGGAAAGCUUUGUUGAGCCAUUUUUGACAGAGAUCGCCUAGAUAUUUUCUUUCAUAGUACUUUAUUUGGAUAUGGUACAUUAGUUGAUGGUUUCUUUAAAUUAGAUUUGGAGGAUGAUUCGUUUGCAUUUACUACUUCUACUUCUUUUCUUCUAAUCUCUGCGAUGAAUCCGUUAAAUGGCAUGCCGGAUUAGGCCAUAUAGGUCAAGACAGAAUGAAUAGACUGGCUCGAGAAGGCCUUUUGGGGUCUCUCGCCAAAGUUGAUCUAUCUGUGUGUGAGCCUUGUCUGGCUGGAAAGGCAUGUAAAAAGCCUUUUGGUAAGGCUACUCGUGCCUCUCAUAUUUUAGAGCUAAUCCACUCUGACAUUUGUAGGCCAAUGAAUGUGAGGGCCCGGCAUGGUGCGUGCUAUUUUCUCACAUUCAUUGAUAAUUCUUCCCGUUAUGGAUAUGUCUAUUUACUUUCUCGCCGAUCUGAAGCUUUAGAUUGCUUCAAGCGCUUCGUUGCGGAGGCUGAGAAUCAAAUAGAAAGAAGUGUAAAGGCGCUUCGCACUGACCGAGGUCGUGAGUACUUGUCUGAUCAAUUCAAGACUUAUUGUGAGGAAAAGGGCAUUAGUAGACAGCUCACUAUUCCUGGUACUCCGCAACUAAAUGGUGUUGCAGAGCGAAGGAACCGUACUCUAUUAGACAUGGUUAGGUCGAUGAUGGCGCAAGCGCAACUUCCUAUAAAUUUUUGGGGAGAUACGCUUUUGACUGCAGCCUACAUCCUUAAUCGAGUCCCUAGCAAAUCAGUGCCUACUACCCCAUAUGAGUUAUGGAGCGGUAGAAAGCCAAGUUUACACUACUUACGCCCUUGGGGUUCAGCUGGAUAUGUUCACAGCCCCUCACAUAAAUUCGGAAAACUCGGCCCCAAAGCAAGCAAGCAUGUGUUCAUCAGAUACCCUGAAAAUUCGAAGGGUUAUGUGAUGUAUGGUGAACACCCAGAUGGUGGUAUGACCGAGAUUGAGUCUCGUGAUGUAGAAUUCCUAGAAAGAAAUUUUCCAAGCAUUGGUGAAAUGCGAAGAGACGUCGGAUUGUAUGAGUUACAGGACGACGAUACCCCAUCUGCUAUUGAUGGUGAUCGGUCACUUCCCAAAGUCGCUGAAGGAAGUGGUAGCGAUCCUCCGGCUAGUGGGAGUGCUUCGUUGAAUGAGAGCAUGCCCUUGGAAGUCGGCAGUUCGGACCAUCCAUUGCGUAGAAGUGAACGUGGACAUAUUCCCCGUCGACAUUCUGAUCGAAGGGGAUAUUUUCAUGAGUACUCCGCUCAAUGACGAUGAACCUUCUUCUUAUAAAGAAGCUCUGCAGACGUCAGCUUGCAGUGAGUGGAUGGCUGCUAUGAAAGAUGAGAUGGAUUCCAUGAGCAAGAACCAAGUAUGGGAAUUGGUUGACCUUUCGCCUGGGCGCAAGUCUAUUGGAAAUAAAUGGUUUUUAAAAAUUAAGCGCAAGGCGGAUGGAUCAAUCGAUAAAUACAAGGCUCGGCUCGUGGCUAAGGGAUACACUCAGAGGCAAGGGGUAGAUUACAACGAGACGUUUGCUCCCGUUGUUCGAUUUCCCUCUAUUCGUUUGAUUCUAGUCUUAGUGGCACACCUAGAUUUGGAAAUGCUCCAAAUGGAUGUCAAGACAGCUUUUCUCAAUGGAGAAUUAGCAGAGGAGAUCUAUAUGGAUCAACCUGAGGGUUUUGUACUCAAAGGUCAAGAAGACAAAGUUCGUCGUCUUAAAAGAUCCAUUUAUAGUCUCAAGCAGUCGUCGAGAUAGUGGUAUUUCAGGUUUCAUGAAGCCAUCACCUCUAUUGGUAUGUCCAUGAUAGAGGAGGACCACUGUAUAUAUAUCAAGAAAACAAAGAAUGAGAUUUUGUUUCUCUCUCUAUACGUCGACGAUAUACUAUUGACUGGAAAUGACAUGGAGUUAAUCAAUACCACUAUGGAGUGGUUGUCUCUCAAUUUUGAAAUGAAAGACAUGGGUGAUGCGAGCUAUGUGCUCGGAGUAAAGGUCAUCCGUGAUCGCUCUAGAAGGCUUCUUGGUUUGUCUCAAGAAUCUUAUAUUAAAAAGGUUCUAGAGCGUUUUAUUAUGCAUCAUUGUAAACCCGUUGACACUCCAGUGGAGAAGAAUCAAACUCUGAGUCUUGAUCAGUGCCCUAAAACGGAUAAAGAAAAGGAGGAAAUGAGUAGGGUUCCUUAUGCGAGUGCAAUUGGCAGUUUGAUGUACGCUAUGAUGUGUACUCGACCUGACAUUUGCUUCGCUGUUGGUUUGGUAAGUUGUUACCAUAGCAACCCAGGACCCAUUCAUUGGCAAGCGGUGAAGAGAAUCCUUCAAUAUUUAAAAGAAACUAGUGAUCUCAUCCUAUACUUUCAAGAUGGGGACUUGAUUGAAAGAAUAUAGCGAUACUAGUUAUGGCGAUGAGUGCAGGUCCACCUCAGGCUAUGUGUUUGGAAGUGGCGCAAUUUUCUAGCAUAGUAAGAAGCAAGGCUGCGUUGCCUUGUCUACUAUGGAAGCGAAGUAUGUUGCUUGAUCAGCAGCCGUUUUAGGAGGCUGUUUGGCUAAGGAGAUUUCUCCAGCGACUCGACUUUGUGAUUCGAGUCGAUGAACCUGUUGAGAUAUUCUCUGGCAGCAUAGCUGCCAUGGAGUAUGUGAAUGACUCCAAGUAUCAUGGCAGGACAAAGCAUAUUGAUAUCUGUUUUCACUACAUUCGAGAUAUAAUUAAGCUAGGCGAGGUCGUUCUUAAACAUAUUUCCACCACUAGGAUGGUGGCUGAUCCGUUGACCAAGCCGAUAGCUAGGGAUGUGUUCCAGACCCACGUUGGGAGUUUGGGUCUUCGUAGGUUUUGAUUUAUGGACAUUAUUUUGUAUUUUACGCUUUAUUAAUGAAAUGUGUUUUUUCUGUUAAUGUGAUUGCGUAAUUGAUACUAGUAGGCACAUAUUCGUUAAGUCACCGGGCUCAGAUCAGCCCACUCACACGGAUGAUCGCCCUGGCACCUAGGUGGUGAGCAGGAUGAGACUAAAUAAUCAUAUUGAACUUGAGUAGUUGUAAUAUGAUUGCUUUGUUCAUAUACGUUAUGAAUAAAGUGUUAAUGUAAUUUAAAAGUCGCCUUAAUUAGUUUAAGAUGAGACUCUCAAGAGUCAGAUAUGAUUUUUUGGUGAAAUUUCAUAUCGAGCCUGUAUAGUAGCCGAACCUAAGUGCUCAGGUUAGAGAGAUGACUUGAGUUGUGGUGGUUAGAUACCUUAGUGGUACCUAGACCAAGGUUCGUAUGGCGUUCUUUCAGAGCGUGACAUGUCCCAUUGAGUGGGAGCUCCGCCAUAGCAUACAUAUCAUACUGUAUGUGCUUGUCGACCAGUUAGUAGAGUGACAUAAGCUCUUCCCUCCAUGUCACUGUGUGAGCACUAACCCUUUUGUGCCCUCGACUUAGAACUACGUUAUGAAGUGGAGGUCAAAAGUAACUAACUUAGCGUGUAUCUCAGGGUCAUGAGAAAAUACGAUCUCGCGGAGCACGUCUAGUAAAGUGCUUGGACCAAUAUGGAUUAACGUGAGGGGCUGAGGAAGAUGUUUCGAUAACACACCACGUAAGUCUUGUGACUCAUUGCCCGGGCGGUUAUCUCGGUUGUGUUACUUGAGAUAAUCAUGAGUACGAGAAAUUAUGGUGGGGUCGAGCCCUGCCAUUACAGGAGAGGGACUUUGUGACGCUUGAUUCGGUGUGUGUUGGAACGUCUAGGGCAUAGACGAAUUAAGUCAGUGAUGUGCUAUGUUAGUUGGGUGGUGACUUAAUAUAGCACUCCUGCAUGUGUUUCUUUCGUCAGGUCGCACGCUCCAUUACCCGUAUGAAGAGAUGAAUGAGUGAGAGAGAAUUGGCCAAUGUGGCCAAGUGGGAGAUUGUAGCCAUGUGGUAUGUCCAUAUUGGCGGGUUUUAAUUUAACCCGAUCCACUUAGGAUGUGGGUUACGACUUAUCCUAAUAGGUUUAGGAUAAUAAUAAAUUAUAUGUUUCUUAUCAGUUAAGAAACAUAUCUACUAGAGGAUAUCUAUCAUAUCCUAAUUCUUAUCCUAAUCUCUUUGUGAGAUUCAGGAUAUUUAGGGGUUCCGUUAUUCUAUAUAUACGUCCCCUUGUUUCUCCCAUCUGAGACGAUUGAUAUUCGAAUUAAUUCAAUAUUCCAUUAUUCUCUCUCUUCUUCCUCUCUGGAAUUUCCACCUACGUUCUCGGGGUUUUGGAGUGUGGACAUAGAAGAGGACUCUGGUAGCCCUCUUCGAUUAACAUCCGUCGCAUCAGAUCCGCAACCGAUCCGUGGCGUAAGGCGUACGCGUGGGAGAAGGCGAGAAACGUGGGAGAUCCAGAAGCAUCGAGACAAGGACGAUCCAAGAAGGCUUGUAAAACAAAUAAUCCGAUCCGAUUCGGGUUCCCGAAUACGUUGGCUAUCUGGUUUGUAAGUUUCCGCUGCUUAUUAUUUCCAACAGAUUAAUUAGU
rnacentral:lncRNA from 1 species